GGGUUGUGAGGUUAAGCGACUAAGCGUACACGGUGGAUGCCCUGGCAGUCAGAGGCGAUGAAGGACGUGCUAAUCUGCGAAAAGCGUCGGUAAGGUGAUAUGAACCGUUAUAGCCGGCGAUGUCCGAAUGGGGAAACCCAGUGCAAUUCGUUGCACUAUCGUUUGAUGAAUACAUAGUCAAACGAAGCGAACCGGGGGAACUGAAACAUCUAAGUACCCCGAGGAAAAGAAAUCAACCGAGAUUCCCCCAGUAGCGGCGAGCGAACGGGGAGCAGCCCGGAGUCUGAAUCAGCUUGUGUGUUAGUGGAAGCGUCUGGAAAGUCGCAGGGUACAGGGUGAUACUCCCGUACACUAAAACACACAGGCUGUGAACUCGAAGAGUAGGGCGGGACACGUGGUAUCCUGUCUGAAUAUGGGGGGACCAUCCUCCAAGGCUAAAUACUCCUGACUGACCGAUAGUGAACCAGUACCGUGAGGGAAAGGCGAAAAGAACCCCGGCGAGGGGAGUGAAAAAGAACCUGAAACCGUGUACGUACAAGCAGUAGGAGCCUCUUUAUGGGGUGACUGCGUACCUUUUGUAUAAUGGGUCAGCGACUUAUAUUCUGUAGCAAGGUUAACCGUAUAGGGGAGCCGCAGGGAAACCGAGUCUUAACUGGGCGUUAAGUUGCAGGGUAUAGACCCGAAACCCGGUGAUCUAGCCAUGGGCAGGUUGAAGGUUGGGUAACACUAACUGGAGGACCGAACCGACUAAUGUUGAAAAAUUAGCGGAUGACUUGUGGCUGGGGGUGAAAGGCCAAUCAAACCGGGAGAUAGCUGGUUCUCCCCGAAAGCUAUUUAGGUAGCGCCUCGUGAACUCAUCUUCGGGGGUAGAGCACUGUUUCGGCUAGGGGGUCAUCCCGACUUACCAACCCGAUGCAAACUACGAAUACCGAAGAAUGUUAUCACGGGAGACACACGGCGGGUGCUAACGUCCGUCGUGAAGAGGGAAACAACCCAGACCGCCAGCUAAGGUCCCAAAGUCAUGGUUAAGUGGGAAACGAUGUGGGAAGGCCCAGACAGCCAGGAUGUUGGCUUAGAAGCAGCCAUCAUUUAAAGAAAGCGUAAUAGCUCACUGGUCGAGUCGGCCUGCGCGGAAGAUGUAACGGGGCUAAACCAUGCACCGAAGCUGCGGCAGCGACACUAUGUGUUGUUGGGUAGGGGAGCGUUCUGUAAGCCGUUGAAGGUGGCCUGUGAGGGUUGCUGGAGGUAUCAGAAGUGCGAAUGCUGACAUAAGUAACGAUAAUGCGGGUGAAAAACCCGCACGCCGGAAGACCAAGGGUUCCUGUCCAACGUUAAUCGGGGCAGGGUGAGUCGACCCCUAAGGCGAGGCCGAAAGGCGUAGUCGAUGGGAAACAGGUUAAUAUUCCUGUACUCGGUGUUACUGCGAAGGGGGGACGGAGAAGGCUAUGUUGGCCGGGCGACGGUUGUCCCGGUUUAAGCAUGUAGGCGGAUGUUCCAGGUAAAUCCGGAACGUUACUAACGCUGAGGUGUGAUGACGAGGCACUACGGUGCUGAAGUGACAAAUGCCCUGCUUCCAGGAAAAGCCUCUAAGCAUCAGGUAACAUCAAAUCGUACCCCAAACCGACACAGGUGGUCAGGUAGAGAAUACCAAGGCGCUUGAGAGAACUCGGGUGAAGGAACUAGGCAAAAUGGUGCCGUAACUUCGGGAGAAGGCACGCUGAUAGGUAGGUGAAGUGGUUUACCCAUGGAGCUGAAAUCAGUCGAAGAUACCAGCUGGCUGCAACUGUUUAUUAAAAACACAGCACUGUGCAAACACGAAAGUGGACGUAUACGGUGUGACGCCUGCCCGGUGCCGGAAGGUUAAUUGAUGGGGUUAUCCGUAAGGAGAAGCUCUUGAUCGAAGCCCCGGUAAACGGCGGCCGUAACUAUAACGGUCCUAAGGUAGCGAAAUUCCUUGUCGGGUAAGUUCCGACCUGCACGAAUGGCGUAAUGAUGGCCAGGCUGUCUCCACCCGAGACUCAGUGAAAUUGAACUCGCUGUGAAGAUGCAGUGUACCCGCGGCAAGACGGAAAGACCCCGUGAACCUUUACUAUAGCUUGACACUGAACACUGGUCCUUGAUGUGUAGGAUAGGUGGGAGGCUUUGAAGCGUGGACGCCAGUCUGCGUGGAGCCAUCCUUGAAAUACCACCCUUUAAUGGCUGGUGUUCUAACGUGGGCCCGUUAUCCGGGUUGCGGACAGUGUCUGGUGGGUAGUUUGACUGGGGCGGUCUCCUCCUAAAGAGUAACGGAGGAGCACGAAGGUCAGCUAAUCCUGGUCGGACAUCAGGAGGUUAGUGCAAUGGCAUAAGCUGGCUUGACUGCGAGCGUGACGGCGCGAGCAGGUGCGAAAGCAGGUCAUAGUGAUCCGGUGGUUCUGAAUGGAAGGGCCAUCGCUCAACGGAUAAAAGGUACUCCGGGGAUAACAGGCUGAUACCGCCCAAGAGUUCAUAUCGACGGCGGUGUUUGGCACCUCGAUGUCGGCUCAUCACAUCCUGGGGCUGAAGUAGGUCCCAAGGGUAUGGCUGUUCGCCAUUUAAAGUGGUACGCGAGCUGGGUUUAGAACGUCGUGAGACAGUUCGGUCCCUAUCUGCCGUGGGCGCUGGAGAAUUGAGGGGGGCUGCUCCUAGUACGAGAGGACCGGAGUGGACGCAUCACUGGUGUUCGGGUUGUCAUGCCAAUGGCAUUGCCCGGUAGCUAAAUGCGGAAGAGAUAAGUGCUGAAAGCAUCUAAGCACGAAACUUGCCCCGAGAUGAGUUCUCCCUGACUCCUUGAGAGUCCUGAAGGAACGUUGAAGACGACGACGUUGAUAGGCCGGGUGUGUAAGCGCAGCGAUGCGUUGAGCUAACCGGUACUAAUGAACCGUGAGGCUUAACCUUACAACGCCGAAG
rnacentral:rRNA from 1 species